UGUCACGCCCUAGGACCCGGCCUAGGCCCGCCCGGUGCGUGCCCAGACCCGCCAUAUGCCUACACAUAUAAGGCGUCUACAACAAUAGCGAAUAAAUGAACAAUAAAUAGAGCGUAUCUAGAGAUAUCAGAGCAAGUAUACAGCUAGGUUCUAACAACAGGUAGAAACAAAGGAAACUAAACCACUAAGGCAAAACGUAAAAUAAUACAUCAUAAAUCUCAAGCUACAUAUAGG
rnacentral:lncRNA from 1 species